CAUAAGCUGCAUUGUUCGUAUUCCCAUAAAGUUUUAACCUUUAAGCUGUAAAAGGGAGUUUUAUAUAGGCUGGAAAUGACACGCCAAUCAUUUAUGGUUGGACAGACAGGAACAGUUCUGCGAACACCCACUUUGAGGAGUGGUGGUUUAAAACUUUCUAUGAAUCGUAGUACGGCAAAGGCGGCCAUAA
rnacentral:other from 1 species